CUUUGCCAGUAGGAAGGGCGGAAAUUCCUGAAGAUGUGUUCAUUCAUGUUGCAUCAGCUGCUUGGUGUUUUCAUGGCAUCUCUGCACACGUGUUGGGUUGAUCAUAAGCAGAAAACCAGAAGCGGCAGUGGUCUCCAGAAGAGACCCAAGGACCCCAAGCUCUCUGUGACACAAACAGGAAGGGCACUGUGGUGCAUUGAAAACCUGCACCAGUAGUGCAUUACCAGUGCACUAUGCUGCUGUUUCAUCAAGGAGAAAGGAGGUGACCACCCCCAGAGGAACUUCAUGCUCUACAGUAUGCUUUUGAAUGUCACGUGGAGAAGUGUGGAAGGCGUUCCUCCAUGGCAGAGCGGUGACCGGAGCGUGAGCUACCUGGCAGACGAGCUGGAUGUCAUUGCAACUGGUGGCGGAAGGAGAAGACGACAAGAUGCUCGUGUGGUUGUGCGUGCCAGGGCUUGAUUGCGUCUUUUCUCAGACUACACUGUUUUUACUUGUACACAUGUAAAAUAAAUAUUGUUUGCUCAAUUUGAGAUAUCAGAAA